rnacentral:rRNA from 1 species
GAUGAACGCUGGCGGCGUGCCUAAUACAUGCAAGUCGAGCGAACGGACGAGAAGCUUGCUUCUCUGAUGUUAGCGGCGGACGGGUGAGUAACACGUGGAUAACCUACCUAUAAGACUGGGAUAACUUCGGGAAACCGGGGCUAAUACCGGAUAAUAUUUUGAACCGCAUGGUUCAAAAGUGAAAGACGGUCUUGCUGUCACUUAUAGAUGGAUCCGCGCUGCAUUAGCUAGUUGGUAAGGUAACGGCUUACCAAGGCAACGAUGCAUAGCCGACCUGAGAGGGUGAUCGGCCACACUGGAACUGAGACACGGUCCAGACUCCUACGGGAGGCAGCAGUAGGGAAUCUGCCGCAAUGGGCGAAAGCCUGACGGAGCAACGCCGCGUGAGUGAUGAAGGUCUUCGGAUCGUAAAACUCUGUUAUUAGGGAAGAACAUAUGUGUAAGUAACUGUGCACAUCUUGACGGUACCUAAUCAGAAAGCCACGGCUAACUACGUG